CGCCUGGGGAGUGCGGUCGCAAGAUUGGAACUCAAAGGAAUUGACGGGAGCCUACACGAGUGGUGGAGCAUGUGGUUUAAUGCGAUAAUCGCGCAAAACCUUACCAAUUCUUGACAUACUGAAAAAGAUUUAUUGAUUAAAAACUUAACUAUUUUCAUACAGGUGUUGCACGGCUGUCGUCAGCUCGUGUCGUGAGAUGUUGGGUUAAGUCCCGCAACGAGCGCAACCCUUGUUUUUAGUUGCCUUAGAACUCUAAAAAGACUGCUGGUUAUAAACCGGAGGAAGGUGGGGAUGACGUCAAGUCAGCAUGCCCCUUACACCCUGGGCUACACACGUGCUACAUUGGGCGAGACAAUGAGAUGCAAAUCUGCGAAGAAUAGCUAAUCUAUAAACUCGUUCUAAGUUCGGAUUGUAGGCUGCAACUCGCCUACAUGAAGGUGGAAUCGCUAGUAAUCGCUGGUCAGUACACAGCGGUGAAUUCGUUCCCGGGCCUUGAACACACCGCCCGUC
rnacentral:rRNA from 1 species